rnacentral:lncRNA from 1 species
CUCCAAGAGUCCAUGGUCAGUUUGAGCAAUGAUAUAAAUUUUAAAAAGAAGAAACUGUCUUAGUUUGGUUUUCCCAGAAGCAGGCUCUGAGACAGGAAUUUGAGUGCAAGUGGUUUAUUUGGGAGUUGAUCCUAGGAAGCAUCAGUGGGAGUGCAGAAAAUUGAGCAAAGGGAGGGAAGGAGGCCAAUAAGGUGCCAAAGUGUCCAGAUUGUCACUAUGGCAAGUAUUUAGAUGUCAAAUUCCUUGUCACUAUUUGCAGGACAGGGUAUCUAUAAUGUUCCCUUUUUUUUUUUUCAAAGCUAUUCUUUUUUUUUUUUAAGCUAUUCUUUUUUGUUUAUGACAAUGAACUAACCAAGAAGAGAGAGACAAUCAGUUGCAAACCCAGCAGGAUAUAAACUCCUAAUGAACAUCUUGGGGUUGAGAGGUUUUUCUCCUUGGAUUCAGAGAGGGGUUCUCUCUGUUUCCUGAAAUACAAUAAGUAAGAAAUGAAAGGAACUGUAAUGCUGUGAUUUGUAGGAUCCACUUAACUUUCCAAACAGUUGUGGUACUCACUUAUGCAUACACUUAACAUCUCUUACAGUAGUGUUACAUUUAAUAAGAAGCAGGAAGCUCUGCAGCUCUCUUGUGGCACAGCAGGUUAAGGAUCCAGUGGCUUGGGUCACUGCUGUGGCAUGGGUUUGAUCCCUGGGAUCUUACACAUACUAUAGACAAGGCCAAAAAAAAAAAAAAAAAAAAAAAAAAAAAAAAAAAGAAGAAGAAGAAGCAGCAGCAGUAAGCUCUAAGAAAGUGUGUAAGAUAAACAUUAACCCUAAAAACUCCUUAAAUAACCUAUAAAGUACCAUACUAGAGGUCUGUGCAUUCACCAAGUGGUUGGUUUGGCAUUUGGCCACUAUUAAAAACAUGUAUCCAUCAGAUGGAUAGUCACAUUUGGCACAAGGAGAUGCUUGCUCUCUGAGGGCUCAAGGGAACAAAAACUAACGAGAAGGGCAGAUUGAGGUCUACCAUCUUAUAGUCUCAGGGGCAGGAGUCAGGAAACUUCUUCUGAAGAGGACUGGAUAGCAAAUAUUUUAGGCUUUUCCGUCUCUGUCACAAGUACCCACCCAACUCUAGUCUGUAAUUGGAAGACCCCUUUCUAAUUGUCCACCCAUUGCUUGGGGUUGGUCAAUAAAAUCACAGACGUGAUUUUGAUGGUUUUCUCCCUCUCUUUCUCUCUGUAGAUAAAUUUAUAAAAAUUAAGUACAUAGAUGAUGCAGGUGACUGGACUGGACAUCUGUGUCAGGAACAAUGCAGGGUACUAAGACAUAAGGGGAGGACAACAUCCUGUCCCAACAGGGAUCUCGGAUGUGGAAGAGACAGUUAACCAUCCACCAAAGACUAAGACUUGCCCUUUCAUUGAAUAGGGUCGUCUCUGGUACAGCUGCCCAGCCAAGAACUGGAGUUCCCAGCUGCCUUUGCCCUUGGGUGGAACCAGGUGCCGGUUCUCUCCAAUGAAAUGUAAGAAGAAGUAACAUGAGUCACUUGGAAGCCAAGAUAGUUAAAUAGCAAGCGUGCAUUCUCCAUACAUCCAUCCCACAUUUUCUGGAUGGAUGUGUAUAUGACUCCAAGGAUCUAGGGGCUAACAGCCACAAGACAGAAGGAACCUGGAUUUGAUGAAUUCCUACAAGACAGUGCUCAUCCAUCCAGUAAUUGAUAAACAAACUUCUAUAGUGCUAAGCCUCUAAAACUCAAGUUUUAUUCCUGGCGGCCACUAGCAUUCCCCUAGUCGACAUAAUAGUCAGGCAAAGAGUACAAACUAGGGAAGCUGUCAUCACUCAGUGUGGUAAGAUCUACAUUAACAGUGUGCUAGAAGUGUACCAAAGAGGGAAGGAUGGGUGAGACAACUUCUACUGGAAAUUCAAGGGCUAUUUUUAUCACAGAGUCAGUGGGCGGAGAAGGAUUAGCCCACUUGAUCUUCACCAAGAACCCUGUCAUCACCAUUUGACAUGCUAAGACUCUGAGAUUCAGAGUAGUUGACUAACCUGGGUAAAGUCACCACACUGGACUCCUGGCUCCACUCCAGUUCUCUUCCCCUUGUGUGACACUGUCUCAAACCUAUUUUUGGAGAAGCACACACCCAUAAUCUGGACAGCUGACUGGACCUCCCAGGACAAGGUUGAACCAGAAGCUACUUCUGCUUCUGCUCCCCGAAUGACAGCUGGCACCCUACUUCCAGAAUUGAUCCCACUCACGGAUUCAUUAAUAAGCCAACUCCUUCCCUUUCUUGGGGGCCAAGCUGAUCAGGACAAAUGAGCUUGGGCAGUGUGAAGGGUCUUGUCCACAGGCAGAGGUGCUCCCUGCUACAAAGCAUCUGUGCUCACCCACGAUGCUGACCAGCCUUCUCACCAUCCAACCGCAGCUUGGCAGCCUGGGAGUCCAAGGCAGACAAGAGAAGGGAGCGUGGCAGGGAGGAGAGAGGGGGAGAUAUGACCUGUUUCUAUUUUUUACUUUGAAAAGAGAUUUUUUUGACACAUUAAGUAGAAAAAAGAAAUUUUUGUUUUUUUUAGGGCUGUACCCGUGGCAUGUGGAGGUUCCCAGGCUAGGGGUCAAAUCGGAGCUGUAGUGCCAGCCUACGCCACAGCCAUAGCAAUGCCAGAUCUGAGCCGCAUCUGCAACCUACAGCACAGCUCACGGCAACACCAGAUCCUUAACCCACUGAGAGAGGCCAGGGAUCAAACCCAAAACCUCAUGGUUCCUAGUCGGAUUUGUUUCCGCUGUGCCAUGACAGGAACCCCCAAGUAGAAAAAAUUUAAUACAUCUGCACACUCUAAAAAGCCAGUUCCCAAAUGUAGCUCUUUCCUGCUCCAACAUUCUCCUGGCAAGAUAAAACAGCCCACACUUCACCUUGCUUUUUCUGUCCCUUGAGCAUCUUAAAAAGAGAAUUCUUUCUUUUUUUUUUUUUUUUUUUUUCCCUAUUGAAACAACCAGCCCUUGACUCAAAGGCUCCGAACCACAGGAGGAACACAGACACCUCCUCCACCCACACACAACACAGGGCUUUCCAGAUCCCAGGGCUUGUGUCCAUUGCAUAUGCUGAUAAUCAGCCCAUCUCCUUUACCCUCAUGCAAAUGGGCAUGCAUCAGACAAAAACUGGAUCUAAACCCACAAGUCUGUUCUAAAGAGUAGCAGAAUUCAACCAGAGCAGACUGAAUUAAGAUAAACAGUUUGAAAAAUACAUUAGCUGUUUAAAUUCUUUCUCCCCAUCCCACGUCUCCCAUUUGUAUCCACAUAAUACAAACCUAUUUGACUGAAUAAACUUAAAACUAGCUAGAAUGGGUGGGAAGGUAAAUUGGUGUGACCUUUCUGGCUACAGGUAUAAAACACCUUUAAACUCUACAUUCUCUUUGACCGAGUAAUUCCACAUCUAUGAGUAUAUCCUAAGGAAAACUUAUCCCAAGCUUGCAAACUUAUAAGAAUGUCUAUCAAAGAAUUUAUAAUAGCAAAACAAAACAAACAGAAAAUACUCAAAUAUCCAACAACAGAUAACGAUAGUUUUCUGGACUAUGGUGCACUUCUAAAAGAUGCAACAAUAUGAAGUUAUUUAAAAUGGUACUGUUAAAUUUAAGAUAGAAAAAUGUUAUGUAAAAGCCAACUUAUAAAACAGUAUUGUAGAGUACAUAUAUUAGAAAUACAUAUUUUGUUGUCGCUAAGUCUGAAAAAGAUGUAUACUAAAAUAUGCAGAGUGAACUAUCUUUGAUUCACAGAAAUUCAAGUGACAUGAAAAAAAGCUGGUUUGCUUAUCCAUAUUCUCUCAUUUUUCAUUACACAAAUAUUUCUUGCUCUACAGAAAGUAAUGAAAAAAUACAGUAUAUGAAUGAUACUAAGUGUAGUGAUGCUAAAACAUUUUUGAUCACCAUGGUUCAACCACCUGGGGUGGCUGAAUUCUCACUAACCUGUCAGCAGCUAUAGUAUUAGAGCAGGAACGCCCACUUUGAAGUAUGCUUCUAACCAAUGUUCAAGCCCCUAGUCCUGGGUCUGAGCUUCCACAGCCCCGUCAUGACACUUCCACAAAACUUUAGAACAUAAGUAUAUAUAGACCAGAUAGAUAUAUAGAUAUAUAAAAUUACAGGUACAGCAAUUGGAAGCUACCUCUAGCCCAUUCUUCCCCGGAUAGGUAGAGAAAGAGAAACAAGAGCCCUAGAGAAAGGGGUCCACCGUGGGUUGGAUUUUUUUUUUUUUUUAAGCAGGAAGGAUCAGAGAGAACAAAGAAUAACCUUCAGUCGAUGGGUCAUUGAUGGAUGUCCUGGCCAUCUGAGAAAGGCCCGGAGCGCCUUGGGUCCUGGGAAGUCAGCCAGGAACCGGCCGACAAGGAGGGCUCUGCAGGCUAGAGGCUCAGACAGGAGACUCCCUGCAGCAAAGGCUGGGUUGGCGGCAUUAAAGAAAGGCUGCAAGAUUCAUUUAUUUAAUCAGUGAGCUCCCAGAUGAUGCUUGGAGUUUGAUAUGGAUCAUUCCAGCCUCUCUCAAAUCGAUCAACAAGUAUUGAUUGAGUGCCUACUGUUUGCUGGGCUUGACGCUAGGCAUUUUGGGAAAUGCAGAAUGAGUACCAAACAAGGUCUCUGUCAAUUAGCGCUACGAGCCCAUGUGUAACAAAGUGGGAACCACCUGAGUGUGACAACACAAGGUACUGAAAUGCAGGGGACAGGGCACACUGAGAUCAGGGAGGUCAGGAGGACUUGAAAUAGAGGUAAAUUUGAGUUAGAGUCAAGGUUGGGGAAUGUCACUGAUUGAGGGAAUAUGAAUAUGUAUUAGGGGCACUGGCUUACAGUAACAAAACACUUGGACUUAGUGCCUUAACACAGUGGGAGUUUACUUCUUGCUCACAUUAAAGCCAUUGGGCAGCAGGAGUGGGGGUGGGACUCUUUUCCAUACAGUCAUUCAGGGCCCCAGGCUCUCAGGGUUCCAUUGUCUCUAAUACAUGCCUUUCAGGGCUAGUCAGGGCUCCAUCACCCACCCAGCAACCCAGGAAAAGGUGGGCAAGGAUCCCAUGGAAGUUUACACAGUCCAGGCCCCAUCACUUCUCCCACGUCCCACUGGCCUAAUGUCAGUUCACCACCCCUCAGAGAUGGAAAGGGGAU